CACGGGGGAUGCGAGCGUUAUCCGGAUUUAUUGGGUUUAAAGGGCGCGUAGGCGGUGCGGUAGGUCCACGGUCAAAUCACGACGCUCAACGUCGUUGCGCCGUGGAAACCCCCGCACUGGAGUCGGUUCGAGGUGGGUGGAACAGGUGAAGUAGCGGUGAAAUGCUUAGAUAUCACCUGGAACCCCGAUGGCGAAGGCAACCCACCAGGCCCGUACUGACGCUGAGGCGCGAGAGCGUGGGUAGCGAACAGG
rnacentral:rRNA from 1 species